rnacentral:rRNA from 1 species
GGGCAGCAGUGAGGAAUAUUGGGCAAUGGAGGCAACUCUGACCCAGCCAUGCCGCGUGCAGGAAGACGGCCUUAUGGGUUGUAAACUGCUUUUCUAUUAGAAGAACUACGGAUACGCGUAUUCGUUUGACGGUAUAAUAGGAAUAAGCAUCGGCUAACUCCGUGCCAGCAGCCGCGGUAAUACGGAGGAUGCGAGCGUUAUCCGGAUUCAUUGGGUUUAAAGGGUGCGUAGGCGGUCUUAUAAGUCAGCGGUGAAAUCUCAUAGCUUAACUAUGAAAGCGCCGUUGAUACUGUUAGACUAGAAUACAGAUGGGGUAGGCGGAAUAUGUAAUGUAGCGGUGAAAUGCGUAGAUAUUACAUAGAACACCGAUCGCGAAGGCGGCUCUCUGGACCGAUACUGACGCUGAGACGCGAAAGCGUGGGUAGCAAACAGGAUUAGAUACCC